GACGAACGCUGGCGGCGUGCUUAACACAUGCAAGUCGAACGUGAUUUUUGUGGAAAUUCUUUCGGGAAUGGAAAUGAAAUGAAAGUGGCGAACGGGUGAGUAACACGUGAGCAACCUACCUUACACAGGGGGAUAGCCGUUGGAAACGACGAUUAAUACCGCAUGAGACCACAGAAUCGCAUGAUAUAGGGGUCAAAGAUUUAUCGGUGUAAGAAGGGCUCGCGUCUGAUUAGCUAGUUGGAAGGGUAAAGGCCUACCAAGGCGACGAUCAGUAGCCGGUCUGAGAGGAUGAACGGCCACAUUGGAACUGGGACACGGUCCAAACUCCUACGGGAGGCAGCAGUGGGGAAUAUUGCACAAUGGGGGGAACCCUGAUGCAGCGACGCCGCGUGAGCGAAGAAGGUUUUCGAAUCGUAAAGCUCUGUCCUAUGAGAAGAUAAUGACGGUAUCAUAGGAGGAAGCCCCGGCUAAAUACGUG
rnacentral:rRNA from 1 species